GGGCCCGUGGCUCAGCCUGGUAGAGCGGCGGCCUUCGGAGCCGUAGGUCGUGGGUUCACGGCGCGGCCGGCCCAAAAAUCCCACCGGGCCCG
rnacentral:tRNA from 1 species